rnacentral:rRNA from 1 species
AGUUUGAUUAUGGCUCAGAUUGAACGCUGGCGGAUGCUUUACAUGCAAGUCGAACGGCAGCAUAAUGGACUUCGGUCUGGUGGCGAGUGGCGAACGGGUGAGUAAUGUAUUUGAACGUGCCUACAGUAGCGGGGGAUAACUACGCGAAAAGCGUAGCUAAUACCGCCUCGGGGGAAAGCGGGGGACCUUUCGGGCCUCGCACUAUUAGAGCGGCCGAUAUCGGAUUAGCUAGUUGGUGGGUAACGGCUCACCAUGACGAUCCGUAGCUGGUUUGAGAGGACGACUUGCGCCACACGGCUGGGACUGAGGAUACGCCUGGGACUCUACGGAGGCAGCAGUGGGGAAUUUUGGACAAUGGGGGAAACCCUGAUCCGAGCCAAUCCGCAAAAGAUAAAGGCCUUCGGGUUGUAAAGCACUUUGGCAGGAAAGAAACGGCACGGGAUAAUACCCCGUGCAACUGACGGUACCUGCAGAAUAAGCACCGGCUAACCACGUGCCAGCAGCCGCGGUAAUACGUAGGGUGCAAGCGUUAAUCGGAAUUACCGGGCGAAGCGUGCGCAGGCGGUUCGGAAAGAAAGAUGUGAAUCCCAGAGCUUAACUUUGAACUCCAUUUUUUAAUUACCGAGCUAGAUGGCUGAGGGAGGUGGUACUCCAGUGUAGCAGUGAAUGUGAUAUAUAGAUAAAUAAUUGACAUACAGCAGCCCUCUGAUAUUAACACUGAUGCUCAUGCACGAAAGCGUGGGGAGCAAAAAUUAGAUUAGAUACCCUGGUAGUCCACGCCCUAAACGAUGUCAACUAGCUGUUGGGGCCUUCGGGCCUUGGUAGCGCAGCUAACGCGUGAAGUUGACUGCCUGGGAGGCAAGGUCAAAGAUUAAAAUCAAAGGAAUUGACGGGGACCCGGCACAAGCGGUGGAUGAUGGACGAUCUGAUGCUCCAAAAACUUUACCUACUCCUUGGACAUAUUCAACCUGAAGAGAUUUGGGAGUGCUCGCAAGAGAACCGGAACACAGGUGCUGCAUGGCUGUCGUCAGCUCGUGUCGUGAGAUGUUGGGUUAAGUCCCGCAACGAGCGCAACCUGCCGCUGAAGGCUACGAAAGGGCACUCUAAUGAGACUGCCGGUGACAAACCGGAGGAAGGUGGGGAUGACGUCAAGUCCUCAUGGCCCUUAUGGGUAGGGCUUCACACGUCAUACAAUGGUCGGGACAGAGGGUCGCCAACCCGCGAGGGGGAGCCAAUCCCAGAAACCUGAUCGUAGUCCGAUCGCAGUCUGCAACUCGACUGCGUGAAGUCGGAAUCGCUAGUAAUCGCGGAUCAGCACAGUCGCGGUGAAUACGUUCCGGUCUUGUACACACUGCCCGUCACACCAGCGCCGGUGGGUUUUACCAGAAGUAGUUAGCCUAACCGUAAGGAGGGCGAUUACCACGGUAGGAUUCAUGACUGGGGUGAAGUCGUAACAAGGUAG